GCUUGUCUCAAAGAUUAAGCCAUGCAUGUCUAAGUAUAAGCCUUUACACGGUGAGACUGCGAAUGGCUCAUUAAAUCAGAAACUGUUUAUUUGAUAGUGCCUACUACUUGGAUAACCGUAGUAAUUCUAGAGCUAAUACAUGCAAAAAGCCUGGACUUCUGGAACAGGCGUAUUUAUUAGAUAUACAAACCAACCGCUUCUGCAGGUCCUAUUGGUGAGUCAUAAUAACUGUUCGAAUCGCAUGCUUCGGCAGGCGAUAGUUCAUUCAAAUUUCUGCCCUAUCAGCUUUCGACGGUAGUGUAGUGGACUACCGUGGCGUUAACGGGUAACGGAGAAUUAGGGUUCGAUUCCGGAGAGGGAGCCUGAGAAAUGGCUACCACAUCCAAGGAAGGCAGCAGG
rnacentral:rRNA from 1 species